ACAGUUUUGGUGAAGUGGUUAGCUCCAUUGGUUAACAUCCAGGAGUCUUGGGUUCAAAUCCCACACAAUCCUA
rnacentral:tRNA from 1 species